CGUAUCACUUAUGGCAGUCUAAGAUACUAUAUCAUUAACCUGUUAAUUUUGUUUAUCACAGAUUGCAAGUGCCCCCAAGGCCACAUUCUUAGCACCUGGAAGAGCACCUGGCUUACAGGGGGCUGUUCUAUGAAGAUCUGUGGAAUGUGUGAAUUGCUCACACUUACAAGUGAAGGAAGAAGCUGCACUUGUUUCAGGGAUCCCGUAACUUCGUAGGAAGUUUAAGGGGCCCCAGGCAUGUGCAUUCCUGGCGUGGCUCAGUCUGGCCCAGUUCUUCACUAUACAGAGGCCUUGGGUUUAGGAAUACUGUGGAGGCCAGAAACAGCAGGGACAAGGAUGUAACCUUCACCAAGGCUCUGGCUCCCUUGGUUUGGUCCCCUCUUGGAUUCCCAGGACUGACAGUGGUGCCCGGUGCACAAUGGCUAACUCUCAGGACAGAGGCUGCUUCUGCCCUUCUCACAGCCUCCUCUGCAGGUG